ensembl:lncRNA
AAGCUCGAGGAAAUUCGCAAAGUCACACAAAGCGAUGCCGAACUUCAAAAAGUAAUCACAUUCAUCCGAAAAGGGUGGCCUCGCAAAAUGACGGAGGGCUCACCACUGCGUGGAUACUAUGCAGCCAGAAGUCACUUAUCAGAGUCGGACAGUCUGGUCCUAUAUCACGACCGCAUAGUAGUUCCAGCAGUACUCAGAGCUGGGGUCCUGGACCAACUGCACGAAGGUCACCAGGGCCUCAACAAAUGUCGGGAGCGAGCCAAGUUGACAGUUUGGCGGCCAAACAUCGGAGCUCAGAUCACAAACAAAGUGAAAUUAUGUGAUUUUUGCAGAGAGUACAAACCUACACAAAGACGUGAACCACUGGUAACCACUCCCCUGUUGGCCCAUGGCAAAGGAUUGCCGUUGACCUGUUUGAGUUAGAGGGUAAGACUUUUCUUGUCGCUGUCGAUUAUUUCUCUAGAGACAUUGAGAUUGCUUUCCCUCACCACCAUUACCAGCAAGCAGGUUAUUAACAAGCUCAAGCACAUUUUUGUGAGAUGGGGCAUCCCGCUAGAACUGGUCAGUGACAACGGGACACAGUUCACAUCAGCCGAGUUCCAAGAUUUCAAACAGAGGUAUGGUUUCCCUCACAUUACAUCCAGCCCACAUUAUCCACAGUCGAACGGAGCUGCCGAAAGGGCUGUUCGGACUGCCAAGUACAUCCUCAAACAGCCGGACCCAUGCUUAACCCUUAUGGGUUAUCGCUCUACACCAAUCGCAGAAACAGGUGAAAGCCCAGCACAGCUCAUGACUGGUAGACAAAUCCGUACUACUGUUCCUGUUCUAGAAAAGACAUUGCUGCCACGUCCAUUCGACCCGGAUCAAGUCUAUAUGAAGGACGCAACAGCAAAAGGUUCAUACAAAUUCUACUACAACCGCAGGCAUUCGGCAUGCGCGCUCCCUGAACUUCACCCUGGUCAAACUGUUAGAGUGAAGCUCGAUGGGGAGAAGGGAUGGACAACACCUGCCAGGGUCAUCAGUAAGUCCAAGGAGCCGAGAUCCUACCUCGUGGAGAUGGCCAACGGAAACGUGACUCGUCGGAACAGGCGUCACCUCCAGACUGUUCCUGAGACCGAACCUCCUGCGGAACAGCAAUGUGCUCAGCCUACAGUGUCUCAGCAGGACAGCAGUUCCCUACCGACAGACGUGACUGUGCCGCCAGAAUCACCAGUGAGCCAGCUACCAGCAGGCCCUUCCCCAGGGUCUCCCCUUCCGCCAUCUACUCCUGUGAGAAGAACUUCCAGGGGCCGUGAGAUAAAGGUGCCUCUUAGGUUUCAAGACUGAUGAUGUUCAAAAGGGCAGAAUAAUCCCUUUCAGGACUGAAGGCAGUCUACCCCUGUGAUGUCCUGCACCGUUCUGAGACUAUUGCUAAGACGUAAUGAAAAAAAUUUUUUUAUUUGAUAACAAAGUUGUUGCAUUUAUUUUUGUUAUAUUAUUUAAGAAAAUUUAAGAUUUAAUUAAUAUUGCAAAAUGCAGAUGUUUGGGAUCUUGUUAUUGCUAACUUCUAAAAGGGGAAGAUGUUGAGAGAUUGUCUUUUGUCCAUGUUAA